rnacentral:rRNA from 1 species
UACGUAGGCAGCAAGCGUUGUUCGGAAUUACUGGGCGUAAAGAGUGUGUAGGCGGUGUUCUAAGUUUGGUGUGAAAUCUCCCGGCUUAACUGGGAGGGUGCGCCGAAAACUGGAAUGCUCGAGUAUGGGAGAGGUAAGCGGAAUUCCUGGUGUAGCGGUGAAAUGCGUAGAUAUCAGGAGGAACACCUGUGGUGUAGACAGCUUACUGGACCAUCACUGACGCUGAGACACGAAAGCGUGGGUAGCAAACAGG